rnacentral:rRNA from 1 species
UACAGAGGUCCCAAGCGUUGUUCGGAUUCACUGGGCGUAAAGGGCGCGCAGGUGGUCGGGUAAGUCUGACGUGAAAUCCCGCAGCUUAACUGCGGAAUGGCAUUGGAUACUAUUCGGCUAGAGGGUUGGAGGGGGGACUGGAAUUCUCGGUGUAGCAGUGAAAUGCGUAGAUAUCGAGAGGAACACCUGCGGCGAAGGCGGGUUGCUGGGCCGACACUGACGCUGAUGCGCGAAAGCGUGGGGAGCGAACAGG